AAUAAAUGAAGAAAGGAGGGCUCAGUUUGCAUAUAUGUAAUAUAGUUGUUGUCUGGGGUUACAGACAUUUAACCUGCUGGCUUCAGGCUUGAAUUCCUGAUCUUUAAUAAUCGCCAAUCCUGUUUUCAGAAACAAGAGCAGUUGUUGAAAGUGAUUUUCAGAUGGCGAUCAUGUACCAACGUUAUUAACUUUGCCUGGAAUGUUUGAAUUUUUGGAUGAAGCGCUUGUUUGUAAUGCCACAAUGGAAGCAUAAAUACCGUCCUUAUUUAUCAAAGUUUCAUGCGUUCCUUUCUCUGCAAUCACUCCAUUUUUUACCACAGCAAUCAUAUCAGCAUUCUUGAUUGUAGAUAAUCGA
rnacentral:misc_RNA from 1 species